rnacentral:misc_RNA from 1 species
GGGUCAUCUUCCUCUCCAAAUAUAUCUGCAAUGAUUCUUUUUCUCUGAUUAUCUGGCACAAAUGCUUUAUAGGUUUGGCAGUCCAAAUGCCUAUGCACGUCAAUUGCCUCUUGCACUGAUGAGUUACAUUUGGAUCGAGCCUGACGCCGCAAUUCACUCAAACGCACUAUUCUUCCCUGCCAAUCCUCACUUGAAUAUCUUUGUGAAUGAUUUUUGGACCGAGCUUGGUGUCGAAUUUGAGUCAAUCGGAUUCUCCUACCUUGCAAAUGCCCAACUGUUGGCUCCCAAAUCCUCUGUCGCAGCAAUAAAUUGCUUUUUGACCUAGCUUGACAUCGAAUUUGACUCAAGCGCGGAGUUCUUCCUUUCCAGUUGAAUCUAUCCCCAUCAUUUCUCACAUGAUCAGUUACAGGCAUUCCUUCAACUUGUUUUCCAGGAGACUUAGGAUCUGUAACUCUGACAUGGCUUACAAUUUCUG